GUUGCCCAGGAGCGAUCAUCCCCACCGUGCCGCUGCGUACACAGCGCGCAGCAAAGCGCCGUGCCAGGGCUGUGCGGGUGGAGCGCGUCGCCCUCCAGCUGUGCUGCAGUCGCCUGUGGGAAGGAGGAGCUCUACGCAGAACCCUGUUCCCUGUCGUUCUGUCCAGGGUGUCAGGUCCCGAGAAGGAGGAGCCCGCGGAUGAACAGAAAACAAUCUGGAAACGUCCACAUUGUGAAAACUGAGAGGACCCUGAUGACUGAUAGACUUCCUUCGGUGCAGAAAGUAAUAAAACAAUAAAAUGCCUUUAUUGUG